rnacentral:rRNA from 1 species
ACCUUACUACAUGGAUACCUGUGGUAAUUCUAGAGCUAAUACAUGCUAAAAACCCCGACUCACGAAGGGGUGUAUUUAUUAGAUAAAAAACCAACGCCCUUCGGGGCUCCUUGGUGAAUCAUAAUAACUUAACGAAUCGCAUGGCCUUGCGCCGGCGAUGGUUCAUUCAAAUUUCUGCCCUAUCAACUUUCGAUGGUAGGAUAGUGGCCUACCAUGGUGGCAACGGGUAACGGGGAAUUAGGGUUCGAUUCCGGAGAGGGAGCCUGAGAAACGGCUACCACAUCCAAGGAAGGCAGCAGGCGCGCAAAUUACCCAAUCCCGAUACGGGGAGGUAGUGACAAUAAAUACUGAUACGGGGCUCUUUUGGGUCUCGUAAUUGGAAUGAGAACAAUUUAAAUCCCUUAACGAGGAACAAUUGGAGGGCAAGUCUKGUGCCAGCAGCCGCGGUAAUUCCAGCUCCAAUAGCGUAUAUUAAAGUUGUUGCAGUUAAAAAGCUCGUAGUUGAACCUUGGGUCUGGCUGGCCGGUCCGCCUCACCGCGAGUACUGGUCCGGCUGGACCUUUUCCUUCUGGGGAACCUCAUGGCCUUCACUGG